UGUUGGAGUUUAGUCUACAGGAUUGUCAGUCUAGAUCUUUUAAUCACCAAGCUUGCUAUGAUCUAAAAGAAACAUUUCUAACUAAAACAAAAGUUUUUGUAUGGACCAGGGAAGGAAAAGGGGCAAUUCAUCCCUUAAAUAGGGCCUCUCUCUCUGGCCCACUGUUAGUCAGGCAAGUUAAACAGAUACACAGUGCUACAGUCAUGUGCAGAUUCUGCAUAAAACACCAGCAGGGGAGGUUCUCCCCAAAGAAAUUUCCUAGAGCGUUUAAGGCCAGCUCACAUCACAUGGCCCCCUCUGACUAAAUGCCGGGAACUUCCCAGCUCCACCAGAAAAAGAGAAACUGUUUGGUUUUCACAUGAACAGAAGACAUCUCUAAAUGAAUCCUGCAGACAUUGAACUGAACAGACGAGCACACAGAAAGCCAGCAUUUACCUUGGAUAAAGGUUAAGUGAGGGCGGGGGGAGGGAGGGUAGGAGGGAGGGAGAAUAAACAUGGUGAGAAGUGAAACAGAUCAAACAAAAAAUCCAAACACUUUUUUUUCUUAAGCUUAAAAGUCUUCUCUCCACGGUCACAGUCAUACUCUCUUUGAGACAGUGUCUCAUCCUAAUACACUAGGGCUGCGGGACAUUUUAGAAGCCAACACAAAUUUAUCACUAGAUUAUUUAUAUUUUUCAAGAUGACAGUAAAUAACAAUUAGGUUAUAAUACCACCUAGUUCUUAUAAAGCACUCUUCCUCAGCAGAUCUCAAAGCAUUUAAACAAGGAAGUCAGUAUCAUUAUCCUCACUUUACAGAUGGGGGAAACUUUGGCUGAAAGGGAAGUGACCCAGGUCCAGCAAGCUGUGGCACAGCUGGAAAUAAAACCCAGGUCUCAUUAAACUCAGACCACAUUGCCUCCUACAGAAUAUAUCUGCAGAAUUCAGUUUAAUACUCCCUUUUAAAAAAGGAAUGUUUUUUAUAAUGCAUGUACAGCAGAAAAAACAAAUCCCAUGUUUAUUUACAGGGUUGGACAAUUUUGCAGCAAUUUUAUCAAGAGCCUCAGCCCUACCUUUUUAUAUCAGAUGGUUUCUUAACUGCCAACAGACAUUGCAGAAGAAUGACCAGUGGACCAGAAUAAAAGAGGAAGACAAGAGAACAGAGGAUUACAAAGGAAACAAUUACUAGGUUUGCAGAAGAAGGAGUAGGCAAAAAACUGAAAACCAACACUGCAGAGUAACACACUACUGCUUGGGUGAGACAUGGGCUGACAAAAAACAUCUCAGCUUCCAAUAAACCAGCCAUGGUAUGCAAGAAGAAUUGGCACAUGGAGCUGAUCACAACAUUUCAUAAGUCUGGGCCAAAUCCUGAAAACCAGUGAGUAUCUGCAAAGCACUUGCAUCCCUCACUGAUAUCAAAAGGAAUUGAGAGUGCUCAAGAUUUGGCCCACUGCAGAGAUGCAGCCUUGAACUGACAAAGAUCAGUUGCGUUCAAUGUGCAAGAAUAAGGAAGGUGCCAACAACUCUAGGUCUACUGACUCACCGCCCAUGUCUUGUUUUGUGAUAUUAUACAUGGGCUGAAAGAUCCACUUUUGCUUAACUGUACAGAUUAAAAUGAUACAUUUAAUAUUAUCCUUUCCUAAGGCUCUAAACAUGCAUAAUGGUAAUUGAUAGUUGUGUCGCAGUGGCAGAGAAAAAGGUGUCUGACCAGAUUUUUCACUCUUGACCAAAAAUAAAUAAAGAUGAAAUGUGCUGAUUAUUUCUUUGAGUGGUAGAUGUUUAAUAUACUGCCUUGAUUGUUUAC